rnacentral:lncRNA from 1 species
CGCAUAAUGAGCUCAUGUCGUCGGUUCGGGUAUUGUAAUACACGCUGUAGAAUGCGAUUCGUGUUCUCUCCGCUUUGGCCGUGAAGUUGACACUAGCGACUUGGAAGGUAGAGUUGGAGUCCGGAGUGUAGUGAAAAUUUUGUGCUUGGUCUCCAGCAAAGGCCAUGACAGCUAGUGGUUCCUUGCAUUUGUCCCUAGCGUGGCCCAAUGAAAAGGUCAAGCUGUAUAGCUUGUUUGGUGUGGUUUCGACCAUUUGUGAAAUGAUGCCUUCCUUGCCCGAGACUAACUCCACGGCACGUUUACCUUCUGGGACUGCAUAGUGAUUGGAAUCAAUGUAUCGAACCGCUCGGUUCGAUUCGACCAUCCAUCCAGGUAAUGGCGAUGUCUCUUCGUCGAGGUUGGUUGGAAGGAGGACACCAAGAGAUACGUUUUGGAACAUCCAUGGACCGAACUCGAAGCCACUGUUAACUACUGCAUUGUCUGUAAAAACAUUCCAACUUCAGUUCAAUCGAUCCCAUCGGACCAAUCGAUUUAUUUGAUUUAAUUAAAUAAAUUAAUAAAUAUAUAUAAAUUAAAAAAUAAAUUCUUACCUUUGGGUUUAUCAGGGGUGAUAAGUUUCUUGAUGGCUAUGUCAUCGAUGAUGGGUCCACAUUCCGGGUCAUCUUCCAUGCCCGGAUUCCUAAAAAUCAACCGGCCUUUAUCCUCCUCCGCCUCAAAAGAAAUCGUGUAAGGGUCCCACCCUUGCACGUUGUACAAUGUUUGCAGGUCCACCGUUUGCGAUGCAGGUGGUACGGACACGUUCAGUGACUCCAUCUGCGCGCAAGUGCGUGCCGCACUGAACGUAACCGCGUAAGCCGAUCCUUUCUCAACCGUCACUUCCUGACUGAUCUCCGCGUCGUUGCCCAAUCUGACGGCGUGCCUGCCUCGGGGUACG